CGUGUAGGCGGAUUGGAAAGUCAGAUGUGAAAUCCCCGGGCUCAACCUGGGAACUGCAUUUGAAACUUCUUGUCUUGAGUGUCGGAGAGGGUAGCGGAAUUCCUGGUGUAGAGGUGAAAUUCGUAGAUAUCAGGAGGAACACCGGUGGCGAAGGCGGCUACCUGGACGACUACUGACGCUGAGACGCGAAAGCGUGGGGAGCAAACA
rnacentral:rRNA from 1 species